AGCCUUUCUAUUAGGAGUUGGGAAAUCCUACAGCACUUGCCUUCAGCAAUAACAGCAUCAACCACAGAGUAUGAACAUCCAGAUAAAAUGUCCAAGAGAAAAAAUAGACAACUGAAAAAGACCCAUAGUUGAUCCAGGCAUUAUACAGAUCUAACUUGUCCUUCUGGUUCAAGGGACUGGCUGGCUCUAGCUCUGCCCUUGCAGAUGAAUUCCAACUUGUAGAGAUGGCUGCACUGGCCUACUGGAGGAGGAAGAUGUGUGACCAAGUCACUCUCAUGAUCUCAGCUGAUGAGUCAACCCCCAGAAGUAGAAGGAGCAGCUAAACCCAGAAGCAUGCGUUUGAAAGACAGCAUCCACUGGUUGGAAUGUCAAGUAUUCCCCUGGGAAGAACAAUGGAAUGCAGAAUAAAGAUAAGUAAUUCCAUGUACUUGGGUGACUUAU